rnacentral:rRNA from 1 species
UACGUAGGGUGCGAGCGUUGUCCGGAAUUAUUGGGCGUAAAGGGCUCGUAGGCGGUUUGUCACGUCGGGAGUGAAAACUCGGGGCUCAACCCCGAGCCUGCUUCCGAUACGGGCAGACUAGAGGUAUGCAGGGGAGAAUGGAAUUCCUGGUGUAGCGGUGAGAUGCGCAGAUAUCAGGAGGAACACCGGUGGCGAAGGCGGUUCUCUGGGCAUUACCUGACGCUGAGGAGCGAAAGUGUGGGGAGCGAACAGG